rnacentral:misc_RNA from 1 species
AAGUCGUAACAAGGUUUCCGUAGGUGAACCUGCGGAAGGAUCAUUAACGAGUUAGGGUCUUCUAGGCCCGACCUCCCAACCCUAUGUUUAUUGAACCUCUGUUGCUUCGGCGGACCCGCCUCACGGCCGCCGGAGGACCGCUGCAAGGCGUCCUCUGGCCAGCGCCCGCCGAUGGCCAACCACUUAAACUCUGAAUGAAUCGUGUCAUAUGUCUAAGUCCAUGAUUAAAUUAAAGCAAAACUUUCAACAACGGAUCUCUUGGUUCUG